rnacentral:lncRNA from 1 species
ACUAUUGCUCUGAGCUAAGUAAAAGUAAUUUUUAAAAUGAAGUUUUUGGUUUUCUGUAUUGUUUUGAGCGUCUUUGUGACUUUGGUAGUUUCAAAGAAAGGUAAAGGAAAUUGUGGUGAACAUACUUAUCUUAAUUUAUGUACACAUUGUUGUGGUGAACCAACGUGUAAAAUAAGAAAUCCACCUAUAUGCCUGUGUUAUCGAAUAUGCUUCCAGCGUUGUGUUUGUCAAGAAGGGUACAUAAGAGAGUUCAGGAAUGGGAUAUGUAUACCGAUAAAAAAUUGUUCUAAAUAUUAAUAGGGAACUUUCACAUUUUUUUUAACUGAACAUUACAUAAUAAUUUUGUUUAAAAAUGAGAUUUCCAAAAUUUCACGCUUCAAAAACUCAUAAUAACUUAGAAGUACAAAUUUAAAAUCUUCUGUGUAUUUAAAAUAGUUCAAACGUCACGACUCGUGACGUCACCUAAUUAUAUUUUAUUUAUGUUUAGUUUAUGGUUAUAUUUAUAUUUUAAUAACAUUUAUCGUAUGUCAUUGUAAUAAAAUAUAACAGUUUGUUGAGAUUAGGAAAUCUAUCAAAAUAUUUAUAAAACUUAGUGCCAGUGUCAAAACGAAUGUGAAACCUAAUGAACUAAUGGCGAGGACAUCCAAUACUACAAUUAUAUGACGUCACGACCAAUGACGGCGCGUUUUGGGCUGGCUGUUUAAUUUGAAUUUUAAUCGUCUUUAGGGGCAAAACGAAAUAAAAAGUUUUUUUUUUCUUUGAUAUACCUACGUUUUAAAUUAUGUUCUGUUGUGAUUUAUAGCAUUUUUUUCGAAUUUAAAAUUUAUGCAAGUUCCCUAUUGUACCUAAUUAAACUAAGUACAUAACAUUAUGUUAGUUUGUAUCAAUGGUAUGUUUUUUCAAAAAAGAGUUAAUUGGUUAAAAUAAAUUUAUUUUUAGAGUAUGAAUACCUAUUUAGAAGACCUAUUUUUCUCUAUUUUCGGGUAACAGCAAAAUGUAUUUUGAAUUAAAUAAAUUACAUUUAUAUUU